rnacentral:rRNA from 1 species
AGUGAACGCUGGCGGUAGGCCUAACACAUGCAAGUCGAACGGCAGCACAGUAAGAGCUUGCUCUUACGGGUGGCGAGUGGCGGACGGGUGAGGAAUACAUCGGAAUCUACUUUUUCGUGGAGGAUAACGUAGGGAAACUUACGCUAAUACCGCAUACUACCUACGGGUGAGAUCAGGGGAUCUUCGGACCUUGCGCGUUUGAAUGAGCCGAUGUCGGAUUAGCUAGUUGGCGGGGUAAAGGCCCACCAAGGCGACGAUCCGUAGCUGGUCUGAGAGGAUGAUCAGCCACACUGGAACGGAGAGACGGUCCAGACUCCUACGGGAGGCAGCAGUGGGGAAUAUUGGAGAAUGGGCGCAAGCCUGAUCCAGCCAUACCGCGUGGGUGAAGAAGGCCUUCGGGUUGUAAAGCCCUUUUGUUGGGAAAGAAAAGCAGCAGGUUAAUACCCCGCUGUUCUGACGGUACCCAAAGAAUAAGCACCGGCUAACUUCGUG